rnacentral:lncRNA from 1 species
AAGAUACAGCCUAAAAUAAAGACUCAGGGUUUUGCUCUGAGUUUCUGAUUUGUUUCUCAAGUCUAUGGAGAGGAAAAUCUGGACAAAGACCCAGAGAGGCAGACACAGACCCACAGGGAGAACACGGUAUGAUAGAUAUGACAACAGGGACUGAGAAGGCAGCCACCAGCAGCCACAGAGAGAGGCGAAGCAGACUCCCACCAGGAGCUUCAGAGGGAGACCACCGUGCUCACACCUUGACUUUAGACUUCUGGCCUCUAGAA